AGUGAACGCUGGCGGUAGGCCUAACACAUGCAAGUCGAGCGGCAGCACAGUAAGAGCUUGCUCUUACGGGUAGCGAGUGGCGGACGGGUGAGGAAUACAUCGGAAUCUACUUUUUCGUGGGGGAUAACGUAGGGAAACUUACGCUAAUACCGCAUACGACCUACGGGUGAAAUCAGGAGAUCUUCGGACCUUGCGCGAUUCAAUGAGCCGAUGUCGGAUUAGCUAGUUGGCAGGGUAAAGGCUCACCAAGGCGACGAUCCGUAGCGGGUCUGAGAGGAUGAUCAGCCACACUGGAACUGAGACACGGUCCAGACUCCUACGGGAGGCAGCAGUGGGGAAUAUUCGACAAUGGGCGAAAGCUUGAUCCAGCCAUACCGCGUGGGUGAAGAAGGUCUUCGGGUUGUAAAGCCCUUUUGUUGGGAAAGAAAAGCAGCAGGUGAAUACCCCGAUGUUCUGACGGUACCCAAAGAAUAAGCACCGGCUAACUUCGUG
rnacentral:rRNA from 1 species